GGAGGAAUCUUCUACAAUGGGCUAACGCCCGAUAGAGCAACGCCGCGUGGAGGACGACGGCCUUCGGGUUGUAAACUCCUUUCGGGGGGAUGACACAGACAGUACCCCCAGAAGCAGCCCCGGCUAACUCUGUGCCAGCAGCCGCGGUAAGACAGAGGGGGCAAGCGUUGUCCGGAUUGACUGGGCGUACAGCGCGCGCAGGCGGGGGCAAGGUGCCGUGUGACAGCCGGACGCUUAACGUCCGCGGGCCACGGUAGACCGGUCGCCUGGAGGCAGGGAGAGGGCAGUGGAAUACCCGGUGGAGCGGUGAAAUGCGUAGAGAUCGGGUGGAACACCAGCGGCGAAGGCGGCUGCCUGGCCCUGACCUGACGCUGAGGCGCGAGAGCGUGGGGAGCGAACCGGAUUAGAUACCCGGGUAGUCCACGCCGUAAACGAUGUGGACCCGGUGCUGGGGGGUGAUUGCGCUCCUCGGUGCCUGAGCUUACGCGAUGAGUGCACCGCCUGGGGACUACGGCCGCAAGGC
rnacentral:rRNA from 1 species